GAUGAACGCUGGCGGCGUGCCUAAUACAUGCAAGUCGAGCGAACAGACGAGGAGCUUGCUCCUCUGACGUUAGCGGCGGACGGGUGAGUAACACGUGGAUAACCUACCUAUAAGACUGGGAUAACUUCGGGAAACCGGAGCUAAUACCGGAUAAUAUAUUGAACCGCAUGGUUCAAUAGUGAAAGACGGUUUUGCUGUCACUUAUAGAUGGAUCCGCGCCGCAUUAGCUAGUUGGUAAGGUAACGGCUUACCAAGGCAACGAUGCGUAGCCGACCUGAGAGGGUGAGCGGCCACACUGGAACUGAGACACGGUCCAGACUCCGACGGGAGGCAGCAGUAGGGAAUCUUCCGCAAGGGGCGAAAGCCUGACGGAGCAACGCCGCGUGAGUGAUGAAGGUCUUCGGAUCGUAAAACUCUGUUAUUAGGGAAGAACAAAUGUGUAAGUAACUAUGCACGUCUUGACGGUACCUAAUCAGAAAGCCACGGCUAACUACG
rnacentral:rRNA from 1 species